rnacentral:rRNA from 1 species
UACGAAGGGGGCUAGCGUUGCUCGGAAUCACUGGGCGUAAAGCGCACGUAGGCGGCUUUUAAGUCAGGGUGAAAUCCUCGGAGCUCAACUCCAGAACUGCCUUUGAUACUGGGAAGCUUGAGUCCGGGAGAGGUGAGUGGAACUCCGAGUGUAGCGGUGAAAUGCGCAGAUAUCAGGAAGAACACCCGUGGCGAAGGCGGCUCUCUGGGACGGUACUGACGCUGAGACGCGAAAGCGUGGGAGCGAACAGG